UGACUCUCAGCCAGAAAUUAAGCAAUAUUUCCUGACCUUCCAAGACUGAAUUGAGGAUUCUGUUUUCUGCCUUUUCUUCAAGUAUAUUGACUUGAGUGGCAGAAAUAGUGGUUUAAACUUUCCUGUUCUCUUUUCCCAUGUCUACCUCUAACUGAACAUGGGGUAGAAUCUGCUGUUUGUUUAUAUGCUUUGAUUUUCCAAGGACUGGGCCUAUGACUUGAUACACAUAGUAAAUCCUGUCUCACUGAAUGAGUAGCUGAGGGGUUGAGAAAUUGGAUAUAUUUGUUGAAUUUGUGUUUUAUUGUUCUGUAGGAAGGAACGUCAACUCUAGCGGGCAAGAAGAGUAAAAAACGUUUUUUCAUCACUCAAGUUGCUCCACAACAGCCAAUUAUGAACUCUGAUCACGGAUUGGACAAAGAUAACAAAUGUAAUAAGGAGUCUACCUCCCAAAGAGAUCCUGAAGACAGCAAAUCACAAAAGAAUUCGAAGGAAGGAAUGUCAACCGUAGCGAGUAAGAAGGGCUUAAAAGAUAUCGCCAUCACUCAAGUUGCUCCACACCAGCCAGUGAAUAAAUAUGCGUUCAACUAUGAUCGUGGAUUGGACAAUGAUAAGGAGUCUACCUCCCAAAGAGAUCCUGAAGACAGCAAAUCACAAAAGAGUUCGAAGGAGGAAUCCUCUGCAGAACCUCUAAAGAGGGAAGAAGUUGCAGUGCCUAUCUCCGGAAUAAGUGAUGAAGCUGUAGAAUCACCGUGGGAUUCUGAGGAAGAAACAUCAAGUGGAAAGGGUGAAGUUCGUGCUGGCACUGGAGGUGUCCCAGAAGGAGAUAUUCUGGAUUAUUUCCUGUCAUGUAGUUGGGCAAGGAUAGCCAAAGAGAGAAAAGCGUCAAUGGCAUCAAGUGGAGAUACUGAAAAGGAUGUGGCUGUCAGUCUAAGUGCACAAGAGCAUGCAAAGGACACAUUAUCUGGUAUUGCUGGAGUGCCAGAAGACAAAACUAUUGGUCAGUAUCUAUCAAUGAAACACUGUUUAAGUACUAAUGUCUGAACUGAAAUGAUUUCCAUUAUUUUGAUGAUUUUUCUUUCGCUAUUUGUUUCUAUGUCCAACUCAACCUGGUUUAAAGUGCUGAUUGAACAAGCAGAAAUUCUUUUUUUUUUAAUUUAUGUUUUUAUCAGAAAGAGAUACAGAGAGGGAGAGGUGGAGUCAGAGGCAUAGAGGCAGAGUGUGUGUGUGAGAGAGAGAGAAAGAAAGAAAGAGAGAGAGUGUGUGCAAGAGAGACAGAGAGGGAGAGAGAGAGAUCUUGCAUCUGCUCGUUCACUCCCCAAAUGGCCACAAUGGGCAGGACUGGGUCAGGCCAAAGCCAGGAUCCAGAAGCAUCUUCUGGGACUCCCAUGUACGUGCAAGGGGCCAAAGACUCAGGCUAUCUUGUAUUGCUUACCCAGGUACAUUAGCAGAGAGCUGGAUCAGAAGUGGGGCCACUGGAACUUGCACCCGUAGCCAUAUGGUAUGCCAUUGCUGAAUCGCCGUGGCUCUACCUGCUAUGCCAGAGCACUGGCCCUCUAUCUGAAAUUCUUUAUUGCUGUUACUUAAAUUUUAGUAUAUUAAGAAUGACUCAGCUGAAUGUGGAAAUUUUUAAAAGCAAUAGUUGGGGCUGGCGAUAUGGUGUAGUGGGUAAAGCCCCCGCCUGCAGUGCUGGCAUCUCAUAUGGGCACUGGUUCAAGUGCCAGCUGCUCUACUUCCCAUCCAGAUAUCUGCUAUGGCCUGGGAAAGUAGAAGAUGAUGCAAGACCUUGGGCCCCUGCGCCCACAUGCCCACAUGCCCACAUUGGAGACCCAUAAGAAGCUGCUGGCUCCUGGUUGCAGAUUGGCAUAGCUCUUGCUGUUGCAGCCAACAGGGAGUGAACCAGUGGAUGGAAGACCUCUCUCUCUCUGUCUCUCUCGGUAUAACUCUGACUUUCAAAUAAAUUAAAAUAUCUUUUAAAAAAAAGCA
ensembl:lncRNA